AUCAGCCUUUUGGGUGUGAUUUUGUGGAGCGUGAAGAGUUAAACGCCUUCAUGCCUGCAUAUUCGUGCACUUUGGGUGUACUUGCCCGUAUGGUUGGUUAACAUCAAUUUUGGUGGUCAUAAAAUGACUGGAGGAAUGUAGCUUCGAUCUCGUAUUGAAGUGUUAUAGCCUUCGGUAGAUGUGAUGAUCGAGAUUGAGGAUUGCAACGGAUACCCUUCGGGGCCAUCUGUCUGAUCUCUGAUCGUUGUUCUGGUGCCGAAAGCUUGCUUACGGUUAUCAAAGUCGAUGGUCAAUAGGUUAGAACGGGUUAAAUUCGUUAAGGAUGUUGACGUAAUGGCUUU
rnacentral:rRNA from 1 species